UGGGGAAUAUUGGACAAUGGGCGAAAGCCUGAUCCAGCCAUGCCGCGUGUGUGAAGAAGGUCUUCGGAUUGUAAAGCACUUUAAGUUGGGAGGAAGGGCAGUAAGCGAAUACCUUGCUGUUUUGACGUUACCGACAGAAUAAGCACCGGCUAACUCGGUGCCAGCAGCCGCGGUAAUACAGAGGGUGCAAGCGUUAAUCGGAAUUACUGGGCGUAAAGCGCGCGUAGGUGGUUCGUUAAGUUGAAUGUGAAAGCCCCGGGCUCAACCUGGGAACUGCAACCAAAACUGGCGAGCUAGAGUAGGGCAGAGGGUGGUGGAAUUUCCUGUGUAGCGGUGAAAUGCGUAGAUAUAGGAAGGAACACCAGUGGCGAAGGCGACCACCUGGGCUCAUACUGACACUGAGGUGCGAAAGCGUGGGGAGCAAACAGG
rnacentral:rRNA from 1 species